rnacentral:rRNA from 1 species
UUAAGCGACUAAGCGUACACGGUGGAUGCCCUGGCAGUCAGAGGCGAUGAAGGACGUGCUAAUCUGCGAUAAGCGUCGGUAAGGUGAUAUGAACCGUUAUAACCGGCGAUUUCCGAAUGGGGAAACCCAGUGUGAUUCGUCACACUAUCAUUAACUGAAUCCAUAGGUUAAUGAGGCGAACCGGGGGAACUGAAACAUCUAAGUACCCCGAGGAAAAGAAAUCAACCGAGAUUCCCCCAGUAGCGGCGAGCGAACGGGGAGCAGCCCAGAGCCUGAAUCAGUGUGUGUGUUAGUGGAAGCGUCUGGAAAGGCGCGCGAUACAGGGUGACAGCCCCGUACACAAAAAUGCACAUGCUGUGAGCUCGAUGAGUAGGGCGGGACACGUGGUAUCCUGUCUGAAUAUGGGGGGACCAUCCUCCAAGGCUAAAUACUCCUGACUGACCGAUAGUGAACCAGUACCGUGAGGGAAAGGCGAAAAGAACCCCGGCGAGGGGAGUGAAAAAGAACCUGAAACCGUGUACGUACAAGCAGUGGGAGCACAGAGCAAUCUGUGUGACUGCGUACCUUUUGUAUAAUGGGUCAGCGACUUAUAUUCUGUAGCAAGGUUAACCGAAUAGGGGAGCCGAAGGGAAACCGAGUCUUAACUGGGCGUUAAGUUGCAGGGUAUAGACCCGAAACCCGGUGAUCUAGCCAUGGGCAGGUUGAAGGUUGGGUAACACUAACUGGAGGACCGAACCGACUAAUGUUGAAAAAUUAGCGGAUGACUUGUGGCUGGGGGUGAAAGGCCAAUCAAACCGGGAGAUAGCUGGUUCUCCCCGAAAGCUAUUUAGGUAGCGCCUCGUGAAUUCAUCUCCGGGGGUAGAGCACUGUUUCGGCAAGGGGGUCAUCCCGACUUACCAACCCGAUGCAAACUGCGAAUACCGGAGAAUGUUAUCACGGGAGACACACGGCGGGUGCUAACGUCCGUCGUGAAGAGGGAAACAACCCAGACCGCCAGCUAAGGUCCCAAAGUCAUGGUUAAGUGGGAAACGAUGUGGGAAGGCCCAGACAGCCAGGAUGUUGGCUUAGAAGCAGCCAUCAUUUAAAGAAAGCGUAAUAGCUCACUGGUCGAGUCGGCCUGCGCGGAAGAUGUAACGGGGCUAAACCAUGCACCGAAGCUGCGGCAGCGACGCUUAUGCGUUGUUGGGUAGGGGAGCGUUCUGUAAGCCUGUGAAGGUGUGCUGUGAGGCAUGCUGGAGGUAUCAGAAGUGCGAAUGCUGACAUAAGUAACGAUAAAGCGGGUGAAAAGCCCGCUCGCCGGAAGACCAAGGGUUCCUGUCCAACGUUAAUCGGGGCAGGGUGAGUCGACCCCUAAGGCGAGGCCGAAAGGCGUAGUCGAUGGGAAACAGGUUAAUAUUCCUGUACUUGGUGUUACUGCGAAGGGGGGACGGAGAAGGCUAUGUUGGCCGGGCGACGGUUGUCCCGGUUUAAGCGUGUAGGCUGGUUUUCCAGGCAAAUCCGGAAAAUCAAGGCUGAGGCGUGAUGACGAGGCACUACGGUGCUGAAGCAACAAAUGCCCUGCUUCCAGGAAAAGCCUCUAAGCAUCAGGUAACAUCAAAUCGUACCCCAAACCGACACAGGUGGUCAGGUAGAGAAUACCAAGGCGCUUGAGAGAACUCGGGUGAAGGAACUAGGCAAAAUGGUGCCGUAACUUCGGGAGAAGGCACGCUGAUAUGUAGGUGAAGUCCCUCGCGGAUGGAGCUGAAAUCAGUCGAAGAUACCAGCUGGCUGCAACUGUUUAUUAAAAACACAGCACUGUGCAAACACGAAAGUGGACGUAUACGGUGUGACGCCUGCCCGGUGCCGGAAGGUUAAUUGAUGGGGUCAGCGCAAGCGAAGCUCUUGAUCGAAGCCCCGGUAAACGGCGGCCGUAACUAUAACGGUCCUAAGGUAGCGAAAUUCCUUGUCGGGUAAGUUCCGACCUGCACGAAUGGCGUAAUGAUGGCCAGGCUGUCUCCACCCGAGACUCAGUGAAAUUGAACUCGCUGUGAAGAUGCAGUGUACCCGCGGCAAGACGGAAAGACCCCGUGAACCUUUACUAUAGCUUGACACUGAACAUUGAGCCUUGAUGUGUAGGAUAGGUGGGAGGCUUUGAAGUGUGGACGCCAGUCUGCAUGGAGCCGACCUUGAAAUACCACCCUUUAAUGUUUGAUGUUCUAACGU